rnacentral:lncRNA from 1 species
GCAAGCUCUACGUCGUGGGGGCCGCAUGGUGCCGAGAGCGCAGCCCCGCCCCGCCCCUCCGCGCUUAAUGGUUAGUUGGGUAACAGCCAGUGGUGGUAACGCCACGCCACGCACGCGCUCGGCUCCGCGCUUAAUGAAGCAGUAUCUGACAGUGUUGCCCAGGCUGGUCUUGAACUCCUGGCCUCAAAUGAUUCUCCUGCCUUGGCCUCCUAAAGUGCUGGGAUUACAGAAUAUCAGGUCUCUGAGCCCAAGCUAAGCCAUCAUAUCCCCUGUGACCUGCAUGUAUGCAUCCAGAUGGCCUGAAGAAACUGAAGAAUCACAAAAGUGAAAAUGGCCUGUUCCUGCCUUAACUGAUGACAUUACCUUGUGAAAUUCCUUCUCCUGGCUCAUCCUGGCUCAAAAGCUCCCCCACUGAGCACCUUGUGACCCCCACUUCUGCCUACCAGAGAACAAUCCCCUUUGACUGUAAU